rnacentral:rRNA from 1 species
UUGGAGGGCAAGUCUGGUGCCAGCAGCCGCGGUAAUUCCAGCUCCAAUAGCGCAUAUUAAAGUUGUUGCAGUUAAAAAGCUCGUAGUUGAAUUUCGGGGUUAGUAGGUUGGUCAUGCCUCUGGUAUGCACUGGCCUCACUGAUUCCUCCUUCCUGAUGAGCCGUAAUGCCAUUAAUUUGGUGUUGCGGGGAAUUUGGACUGUUACUUUGAAAAAAUUAGAGUGUUUAAAGCAAGCUAACGCUUGAAUACAUUAGCAUGGAAUAAUGAAAUAGGACGUUCGAUCCUAUUUUGUUGGUUUCUAGGAUUGACGUAAUGAUUAAUAGGGAUAGUUGGGGCAUUAGUAUUCAAUUGUCAGAGGUGAAAUUCUUGGAUUUAUUGAAGACUAACUACUGCGAAAGCAUUUGCCAAGGAUGUUUUCAUUAAUCAAGAACGAAAGUUAGGGGAUCGAAGACGAUCAGAUACCGUCGUAGUCUUAACCAUAGACUAUGCCGACUAGGGAUCGGAUGAUGUUAAUUUUUUAAUGACUCAUUCGGCGCCUUACGGGAAAC